UUGGCCGCCUCCUUCCCGAUGACACGCCCCCGUCUACGGAAGCGGCGGCAGACGACAGCAGCGGCCAGGGGGCACGGGGACCUCGGCACCGCGUCCUCACUAGGCGCGCCGCACACGGCUGGGCGGCACGUCUGCAUCCUCGACAGGCGGUGGGGCGGCAUGCCCCGUCCAUGGAAGCGGCGGCGACAGCAGCGGCCGGGCCGCACGGGGACCUCAGCACCGCGUCCUCGCUAGGCGCGCCGCACACGGCUGGGGCGGCGCGUCCCCAUCCUCGGCGGCGUGCGGUGCUCGCCAUGGAUCCCAGCGUCCGCAUCCUCUCUGAGCUCCCAGGUAGCCAAGCUAGCAACAAGGUAGGUGUCUUAAUUAUCAGGGCUGCGGGCCAGCACUAGGCAAGUCUGGCUUGCACGAGACCCAGGCCCUCAGCACUCCUGCACCAUAUAUUACUUUUCGUUCUUUAGUUUCUUUCUCUAGACAAUAGAAUCACUAUCAGUAAUUGCCAAAAGAAGGAUCUUAUUAGGUUUUCUUAUGCAGACAUAAUUGGUCUGUUUGUUUCUGGUAUUUGGGUAAAUUGGGUGUCAUGAUAACUAUAUUCUUUAUAAUGUUAUAUAGCCGUGCUUUGAUUACUGAAUAUAUGUUCCUCACAUCCAAUUUCCAAUCUAAAAGUUAAGAAUCACUGAAUGCAGCACAUAGCAAAUGUUCUAAUGAUGGCAUAUCUGAUAGCCUGACAGUAAACCAAUUAGUGACUAAAUUUAUUUUGCAAGGACCAACCAAAAUAACAUACAUUUUUAUUUCAAAGUGUUGUCACAAGUUAGUUUGUAGAUUAAAAUUUCUUUCCCAGUUAACUAGCUAUAUAUUGAUUAUGUGUUUUUGAUGGGCAAGACCUAUCACUUACACACUCGAUCAUCCAAUGGUCACUGGUCAGAUGUAUAUAACAAUACAUCGAAGCUGCUGGAUGAAUCGCCUUAAAUGAGUGUCUACUUAGAUGGUCAAAUGUGUUUUCUAAACAUAGCUUGAGUAUCAACAUAUAUGAGCUUUGUGAGAACGCUGAAUUUUUUUCGAGGUUCAAACUUAUUUAAAAUGGCAUUUGUGCUUGUGAUACAGUGCACUAUACCGUAAGUCCUUAUUCAUGCUGCACAAGAGCACAAUUCUCAUUCAAUGCAUGCUUGUCCCCAGGGACUGUAAAUUGCAAGGUUUGCUACCACACUCAGAAAGGAGCUGCAAAAUACUACUACAAACCAGGUUAUUACUUCUGGCAAAUUCAAUUGGUUCUGAUUUUACUCCACUCAGUUAUUAAUAUAUGGCACAUUCUUGAUCAUCUUUGAUUUGUGGAUCCAAGGUACCAUAAUUUGUUGCUGGUGCUAAAGUGAUUAAACAUAGUAGUUAGAACUGGGAAUAUGGAUCCAAAAUAUCAUUCGUUGCCUGUGCAUUUGUGCAAUCCAGAUACAUUAAUUUUUGCUCACGAUAUAAUGCGCGACCAUGAAGAUUUUGAUUCUGGGGAAGGUUAAACCUCUUGUCGCGAUUCAUAAUCUGAUGAUAGUUUGUAAAAAUGCUUGUUAGCGAAUCAAAGUACACAAGUACACAUGAUGGCAGUGUCAUCGUUCAUGGCUUUUGUUAUGGUCCUUUCUCAGAAUUUCCCUUAACCUGUUGCUUGCUUUUUUGAAUGAGGAUCAGUUGGAUGAAUCAAUGGGUUGUUAGCUGAAAUCAUUUUUUCCAAGUAUUUCCAUAUGGUUCAGGCUUAUAUUGUGCUCCAGACAAUGGAAGCUCAAUUUCUCUAUGGAUGACCUCUGGUGUGAUAUGAUGCCAAAACUUGCUUACCCACGGUUCUCCUCCUUUGCAUGGAACAAGAAUAUCUCUCUGAUGAAUGCAGCUACAGCUGAACAUUUCAUUCACUCUUCCAUCUGCCUCUAUUAGUCCAAGCACAUGAACAAUACUGCCUACUGCUUGAUCACCUUCAGACCAGACUCAUUAUAGCUUAUCUGAAUAUGAAAAUAUGCAAUCCUUGGAAAUAAUGUGAGCAUAUGGUCAAUAAGGAAUACACUCAUUUUUUUAUAAUGAGAUGCCAUCAGUGCAAAGAUGUCAAGAUUUCAAGUGUGAACUUGCCAUGGUUACCCAUGGAGCACAAAAAGUACUUCGCGACAAUUGUCGAAUGGAUAGACUCCCUGUUGUAUAUAAUUUUGUUCUUUUAUUUUUGUCUUGUUGUAUAUGACUUUUUCUAAUACAUAACCAGUAGGGGCUUGCCUCUCCUGUUCCA